UCAUCUCGUUCAGCAUUCUCUCGGUCCUUGUGAGGACUUUCUUGUCUCAGAGAGUUUUAUCUCCCUGUCACGUCCGCUCGUCUCACGUGUCACGGGUGUCUGGGGGUAUUUGGUCCGGAGCUGCUCUGUCCUGCCGCCCAGCCCGGUUGUAGGUGUUUAAGGAUAAGUCCCGGGCACUUGUAAUCAGAGACUUGUAGUACGGGCUGUAGUUGGAGUCUAGGUGGUAUUCUUAUGUUGGCAGCAGGUGUCUGGAGCUGUGAAGUUACCCUGCAGCACUUUGACUUUUUUCCUAACUUUCUUUCAGAUUCAGAUGGAUUGACCUCCUGGCAGAACACCUGUCCCAGAUGAGGGGGUCCCCCUGAGAAGGAAGUAAAGCCGGGUAGCAGCGGGGAAGGCGAAGCAGGUGGAAGGCUGCCUCCUGAUGCUGUGCUGUGGCCCCCUCACUGACCUGCCAAGAGACCCGGUUUGCUUCUCUGGCGUACCCUGCGACGACGGCAUCCGCCUCGGAGCGUGGCCGAAGCGUGUGGCCGGAGGACCUGGGAGUUCCUAAGAGAUGGUGAUGAUACUUGUCUGAGACAACAGCCCGGUGAGAGAAGAACUUCCCAGACAGCGAGGUGGCUUUGUUUGGCUCCCGACCGGCCUCUCGCCGUGACUCACAUCUUCAGCCCUCUGAGAGAUAAGUGGAGCCCACAGAGGGGAUCAAAGCAGGGCGGUGGGUCAGGACUCAGAUCGGUUUGGGUUUUUGAGUGAGCUUUGGGGAUGGGGAGGUUCUGGAAAUGACCCCAUAGGCCCCAGUGAGGGAAAGCCUCACUUUGGUUUGCAAUGCUGAGGCAGGCAGGGCAGAGCAGUCCCAGGGUGUGUUGUCACUUGUCUCUCGUGCCUUCUGUGUCUUAUGUGCAUCUUGUGUAACAUCUCUAUUGCCUUAGUCCUCCCAGGGGCUUAUGAGAAACCCCGGGGUCAUUCCGUUCAUCUCCCAUCUUUGCGUUCUUCGGCCCGGCGCUGGCAAAGCUUUGAUUCGGGAGGUCGGACAGGCAUCAGAAUCGCAUCUGUCUUUAGAAGCACGUGAUCGGAUGUUUUCUUAGGUCUCGUUCUCAGCUGUGUCGACAGCUAUAUGCAGCAGUGUUUCCUUACAGUGGAUAAGGACUUGUGCCGAUUCAAAGGCAGGCAGAGGCUUCCAGCCACAGGAUUCUCGGGCAUCCGUCUCUGCGGUUCUUGGAAAAUAGUUGUUCCGUUAGCGUCUUUUCCCUCCGGGGUCAUCGGAUCCCGGCAGGCUCGCCUUGGGUCCCUCUUUAGUCAUCUCGUUCAGCAUUCUCUCGGUCCUCGUGAGGACUUUCUUGUCUCAGAGAGUUUUCUCUCCUUGUCACGUCCCCUCGUCUCACGUGUCACGGGUGUCUGGGGGUAUUUGGUCCGGAGCUGCUCUGCCCUGGCGCCCAGCCCGGUUGUAGGUGUUUAAGGAUAAGUCCUGGGCACUUGUAAUCAGAGACUUGUAGUACAGGCUGUAGUUGGAGUCUAGGUGGUAUUCUUAUGUUGGCAGCAGGUGGUUGGAGCUGUGCAGUUACCCUGCAGCACUUUGACUUUUUUCCUAACUUUCUUUCAGAUGCAGAUGGAUUGACCUCCUGGCAGAACACCUGUCCCAGAUGAGGGGGUUCCCCUGAGAAGGAAGUAAAGCUGGAAAGUAGCGGAGAAGGCAAAGCAGGUGGAAGGUGGUCUACUUGCAAGAUAUCCCAGCCCAGGAUGCUGGAGGACAGGAGUCGGUGUUGCCCCGAGCCUGGCCAGGAGCAGAGAUGAGCAGGUGAGUUGGCAUUUUGAAGUUAAGUUAGAGGACAGGGCUGUAGUGGGAUAGGCCCCUCUGAAGCCAAGGGAGAGGGUUUCUUUGCAAGCUCCCCAGAGCUUUUGCCGGGCAGGGCAUUUCCAAUCCAUCUUCUCGUUCUCUCACAU